rnacentral:rRNA from 1 species
GAUGAACGCUGGCGGCGUGCCUAAUACAUGCAAGUCGAGCGAACGGACGAGAAGCUUGCUUCUCUGAUGUUAGCGGCGGACGGGUGAGUAACACGUGGAUAACCUACCUAUAAGACUGGGAUAACUUCGGGAAACCGGAGCUAAUACCGGAUGAUAUUUUGAACCGCAUGGUUCAAAAGUGAAAGACGGUCUUGCUGUCACCUAUAGAUGGAUCCGCGCUGCAUUAGCUAGUUGGUAAGGUAACGGCUUACCAAGGCAACGAUGCAUAGCCGACCUGAGAGGGUGAUCGGCCACACUGGAACUGAGACACGGUCCAGACUCCUACGGGAGGCAGCAGUAGGGAAUCUUCCGCAAUGGGCGAAAGCCUGACGGAGCAACGCCGCGUGAGUGAUGAAGGUCUUCGGAUCGUAAAACUCUGUUAUUAGGGAAGAACAUAUGUGUAAGUAACUGUGCACAUCUUGACGGUACCUAAUCAGAAAGCCACGGCUAACUACGUGCCAGCAGCCGCGGUAAUACGUAGGUGGCAAGCGUUAUCCGGAAUUAUUGGGCGUAAAGCGCGCGUAGGCGGUUUUUUAAGUCUGAUGUGAAAGCCCACGGCUCAACCGUGGAGGGUCAUUGGAAACUGGAAAACUUGAGUGCAGAAGAGGAAAGUGGAAUUCCAUGUGUAGCGGUGAAAUGCGCAGAGAUAUGGAGGAACACCAGUGGCGAAGGCGACUUUCUGGUCUGUAACUGACGCUGAUGUGCGAAGGCGUGGGGAUCAAACAGGAUUAGAUACCCUGGUAGUCCACGCCGUAAACGAUGAGUGCUAAGUGUUAGGGGGUUUCCGCCCCUUAGUGCUGCAGCUAACGCAUUAAGCACUCCGCCUGGGGAGUACGACCGCAAGGUUGAAACUCAAAGGAAUUGACGGGGACCCGCACAAGCGGUGGAGCAUGUGGUUUAAUUCGAAGCAACGCGAAGAACCUUACCAAAUCUUGACAUCCUUUGACAACUCUAGAGAUAGAGCCUUCCCCUUCGGGGGACAAAGUGACAGGUGGUGCAUGGUUGUCGUCAGCUCGUGCCGUGAGAUGUUGGGUUAAGUCCCGCAACGAGCGCAACCCUUAAGCUUAGUUGCCAUCAUUAAGUUGGGCACUCUAAGUUGACUGCCGGUGACAAACCGGAGGAAGGUGGGGAUGACGUCAAAUCAUCAUGCCCCUUAUGAUUUGGGCUACACACGUGCUACAAUGGACAAUACAAAGGGCAGCGAAACCGCGAGGUCAAGCAAAUCCCAUAAAGUUGUUCUCAGUUCGGAUUGUAGUCUGCAACUCGACUACAUGAAGCUGGAAUCGCUAGUAAUCGUAGAUCAGCAUGCUACGGUGAAUACGUUCCCGGGUCU